ensembl:snRNA U6 U6 spliceosomal RNA
GUGCUCACUUCAGCAGCACAUAAACUAAAACUGGAAUGCUUCGGAAAACAUUAGCAUGGCCACUGCACAAGGAUGACAUGCAAAUUUGUGCAGUGUUCCAUACUUUA